GCCAGCGCAGUGGUGAUGGUGCC
rnacentral:miRNA from 1 species